GGGCGUCAGCUUCAACGCUUCCCAUUAACUUUGAAUGGGUGACGUCAGGCGUUGCCGAACUGCAUUGUGGAUCUGUUGGCGCCGCUUCAGAGGCGUUGCUCGCUGCAGAAGUUGGGACUUGCUCAACUUUUUAAGCUUUUCUCCCCUCACUUAAAAGUGAACUACCACUUCUUUGAAUGGAUAACAGUUUUGCAUAGUAAACUAGCUAUUGACUCCCUCUUGAGUUCACUUGAUUUAAUUAUGUCUGUUUCAAAGGCAAUUUUGAAAGUCUUUUCAAAUGAUUUGCUUUAAAAUGUGCAAUAUGUAAUUUUCUGCAGAAACAAUUUUUGUUUUCUGUAAAAACGAUUUUUGUUAUGCUGGUUGAAAGUUGAAAGUCUCUGACAUCAUGAUAGCAAUCAUUAAAUUAAGUGGGCAAAUGCAUUUAAAAUGCAUUUUAAUAUCCUGUGUAAUGUGUAGGACCAAGAAAAUGUCCUAUUUGAAACGUUAGGUCCAAACUUAAGGAUAGGCUGUCCUACCUGCCUGUCAAAAUAUGCAGUUGCAUACAUCUGUCCACUUUUCAUUUAGAAUGUAUUGUCAUCUACAGUACGCGUUUACAGAUGCAUUUUAGACAGCCAGGCUAACCGCAAUAACUUACUUUCAUUUUUAAGUUUGCUAUUGUAAUUACCAACUGUAAUAUAAAGUUUACUCUGGUCAAUGUGAUGUGAUGUAGUGAUUUGUUUAGGAAGAGUGGCUUAGUGUACGAUAUGCAGGGUGGGAAGUAGGUUUUCAGUGCUAUCAGGCUAAAGUUAGUAUUUUCCAACAACUCCUAUUGCACCUUUUUUUUACUUUUUUGAAUUGUGAAAUUCCAUGACUUCUGUCUCAAUUUACGACUCAAGUUUUUAGCAAGAUCAAAUUUUUAGCAUAUUGUUUUGGAACGUGAUCCAUCUGUGAUCUCAAGUUUUCAAUGAUAUUAACAAAUAAAUGUGCAUGAUUGGCAGAGCUUUCAAACCUUCGUUUUAAACAACUCAAUUUUGCUUGAGUUGGAUGGUACAGAUGAGAGAGUUAGAGAUCAUAUGAUACUGCAACAUAUUAGAUUUUAUUUUUCUAAUAAUUUUGCAUAAUCACAUUAACAACAAAAUAUCUACAUUAAAGAAAAUAUUUUUUAUCUUUCAAUUAUAAAUAUAUAUUAUAUUUCAUAUUAUAUUUAUAUAUUUGUGGAUAUAAUUAUUCAAUUGUCAAUAUAAUUGUUCAUGUUUUUUGUAAAACAUAUUUAUUUUUAUUUAAUUCAUUGACAUAUUAAUCUAAAUGACUGUAUUUUUCCAAUCAAAGAAAUACGGCAAGUAAAAUAAAUUAUUUCCACCUUCGAAAUAUAAAUCGUUUACAUCCUUCCCUCACACCUCAUUCAGCUGCCAUUCUUGUUCAUAGUUUAGUCACAUCCUGUUUAGAUUACUGUAAUUCCCUUCUGUUUGGCCUCCUUAAAAAA
rnacentral:lncRNA from 1 species